rnacentral:rRNA from 1 species
ACGGAGGGUCCGAGCGUUAAUCGGAAUUACUGGGCGUAAAGCGCGCGUAGGCGGUAAGUUAAGUUGGAUGUGAAAGCCCAGGGCUCAACCUUGGAAUUGCAUCCAAAACUGGCUUGCUAGAGUAUUGUAGAGGGGUGUGGAAUUUCAGGUGUAGCGGUGAAAUGCGUAGAGAUCUGAAGGAACAUCAGUGGCGAAGGCGACACCCUGGACAAAUACUGACGCUGAGGUGCGAAAGCGUGGGGAGCAAACAGG